rnacentral:rRNA from 1 species
GACGAGUGGCGGACGGGUGAGUAAUACUUAGGGAUCUGCCCUUUGGCGGGGGAUAACCAUUGGAAACGAUGGCUAAUACCGCAUACGACCUACGGGUAAAAGGGGGCUACUUGUAGCUCUCGCCAAAGGAUGAACCUAAGCGAGAUUAGCUAGUUGGUGAGGUAAAGGCUCACCAAGGCGACGAUCUCUAGCUGUUCUGAGAGGAAGAUCAGCCACACUGGGACUGAGACACGGCCCAGACCCCUACGGGAGGCAGCAGUGGGGAAUAUUGCACAAUGGGGGGAACCCUGAUGCAGCCAUGCCGCGUGUGUGAAGAAGGCCUUAGGGUUGUAAAGCACUUUCAGUGAUGAGGAAGGGGAUGUAGUUAAUACCUGCAUUCAUUGACGUUAGUCACAGAAGAAGCACCGGCUAACUCCGUGCCAGCAGCCGCGGUAAUACGGAGGGUGCGAGCGUUAAUCGGAAUUACUGGGCGUAAAGCGCACGCAGGCGGUUAUUUAAGCUAGAAGUGAAAGCCCUGCGCUCAACGUGGGAAGGCCUUUUAGAACUGGGUAACUAGAGUCUUGGAGAGGGGAGUGGAAUUUCUGGUGUAGCGGUGAAAUGCGUAGAUAUCAGAAGGAACAUCAGUGGCGAAGGCGACUCUCUGGCCAAAGACUGACGCUCAUGUGCGAAAGUGUGGGUAGCGAACAGGAUUAGAUACCCUGGUAGUCCACACCGUAAACGCUGUCUACUAGCUGUGUGUGAUUUUAAAUUGUGCGUAGCGAAGCAAACGCGGUAAGUAGACCGCCUGGGGAGUACGGCCGCAAGGUUAAAACUCAAAUGAAUUGACGGGGGCCCGCACAAGCGGUGGAGCAUGUGGUUUAAUUCGAUGCAACGCGAAGAACCUUACCUACUCUUGACAUCCAGAAAAUUA